UAAUAGCGUAUAUUAAAGUUGUUGCAGUUAAAAAGCUCGUAGUCGGAUGUCGGGCUCGGGCAGGCUGUCGGCUUCGGUCGGACGGCAGGCUCGGGUCUUUCUGCCUGAGGGAUCCCGUUGCACUUAAUUGUGGGGCGUGGGGACGCAGGCCGUUUACUUUGAAAAAAUCAGAGUGUUUCUAGCAGGCAGCUCGCUCUUGCAUAGGUUAGCAUGGGAUAAUUUAAUAGGACUCUGGUGCUAUUUUGUUGGUUUCGAACACCGGAGUAAUGAUUAAAAGGGGCAGUCAGGGCACUCGUAUUCCGUCGAGAGAGGUGAAAUUCUCAGACCAAUGGAAGACGAACCACUGCGAAAGCAUUUGCCAGGGAUGUUUUCACUGAUCAAGAACGAAAGUUAGGGGAUCGAAGAUGAUUAGAUACCA
rnacentral:rRNA from 1 species